rnacentral:rRNA from 1 species
UGGUGGAGUGAUUUGUCUGGUUAAUUCCGUUAACGAACGAGACCUCAACCUGCUAAAUAGUUAUGCGCAGCUUCGGUUACACAGGCAACUUCUUAGAGGGACUUUGCGCACCUAGCGCAAGGAAGUUUGAGGCAAUAACA